AAGGUGAAGUCGUAACAAGGUCUCCGUUGGUGAACCAGCGGAGGGAUCAUUA
rnacentral:rRNA from 1 species